rnacentral:rRNA from 1 species
GACGAACGCUGGCGGCGUGCUUAACACAUGCAAGUCGAACGGAAAGGCCCUGCUUUUGUGGGGUGCUCGAGUGGCGAACGGGUGAGUAACACGUGAGUAACCUGCCCUUGACUUUGGGAUAACUUCAGGAAACUGGGGCUAAUACCGGAUAGGAGCUCCUGCUGCAUGGUGGGGGUUGGAAAGUUUCGGCGGUUGGGGAUGGACUCGCGGCUUAUCAGCUUGUUGGUGGGGUAGUGGCUUACCAAGGCUUUGACGGGUAGCCGGCCUGAGAGGGUGACCGGGCCCCAUGGGACUGCGGGACGGACCAGAGUCCUACGGGGGGCAGCGGGGGGGAAUAUUGCCCAAUGGGCGGGAGCCUGGUGUAGCGACGCCGGGGGCGGGAUGAGGGCCUUUGGGUUGUAAACCGCUUUCGCCUGUGACGAAGCGUGAGUGACGGUAAUGGGUAAAGAAGCACCGGCUAACUACGUG